UACGUAGGGUGCGAGCGUUAAUCGGAAUUACUGGGCGUAAAGCGUGCGCAGGCGGUUUUGUAAGCCAGAUGUGAAAUCCCCGGGCUUAACCUGGGAAUGGCAUUUGGGACUGCAAGGCUUGAGUGCGGCAGAGGAGACUGGAAUUCCUGGUGUAGCAGUGAAAUGCGUAGAUAUCAGGAGGAACACCGAUGGCGAAGGCAGGUCUCUGGGCUGACACUGACGCUCAUGCACGAAAACGUGGGAGCAAACAGG
rnacentral:rRNA from 1 species